rnacentral:lncRNA from 1 species
UGCCUUCUGGUUAUUGGAUCCAUACCAGUAGUAUGCAGUCACAAGAAAGGAACUAAAUAAAAGGUAGGACUUGCAAAAUAGAGUGAGCACACGUACCGGUUCAUCGAGAAUGACUAACUUCGGAUCCCCUAAAAGGGCAGCUGCAACACUGAGACGACGCUUCAUCCCUCCACUGUAACGACCAGCUCUAACUUGGUACUUUCUGAGAGCUUGACCUGAUCCAAUAACUGCGAGUUACCUGGAUUUGAGCAAAUAUUAUGAGUAGGAUAGGCACUGCUAGAAAAUACUGUUACGAGUUGGUCAACCAUGCAGCAGCUCUCUCACUUGGUGAACCUGUCAAAGUGCGAGCUUG